rnacentral:siRNA from 1 species
AUAAGAGCACCGCUUACCAUCCUC